rnacentral:rRNA from 1 species
GAGCUCGUAGGCGGUUUGUCGCGUCUGCUGUGAAAACUGGAGGCUCAACCUCCAGCCUGCAGUGGGUACGGGCAGACUAGAGUGCGGUAGAGGAGAUUGGAAUUCCUGGUGUAGCGGUGGAAUGCGCAGAUAUCAGGAGGAACACCGAUGGCGAAGGCAGAUCUCUGGGCCGUAACUGACGCUGAGGAGCGAAAGGGUGGGGAGCAAACAGGAUUAGAUACCCUGGUAGUCCACCCCGUAAACGUUGGGAACUAGUUGUGGGGGCCUUUCCACGGUCUCCGUGACGCAGCUAACGCAUUAAGU